rnacentral:tRNA from 1 species
GCCGGAGUGGUGAAAUAGGUAGACACAAGGGACUUAAAAUCCCUCGAGUGCAAGCUCGUGCCGGUUCGAGUCCGGCCUCUGGUACCA